rnacentral:rRNA from 1 species
AGAAUCAACGCUGGCGGCGUGCCUAACACAUGCAAGUCGCACGAGAAAGGGGAGCAAUCCCUGAGUACAGUGGCGCACGGGUGAGUAACACGUGAAUCAUCUACCUUCGAGUGGGGAAUAACUGAGAGAAAUCUUAGCUAAUACCGCAUAAUACCUACGGGUCAAAGCAGCAAUGCGCUUGAAGAGGAGUUCGCGGCAGAUUAGUUAGUUGGCGGGGUAAUGGCCCACCAAGACGAUGAUCUGUA